CGGAGGGUGCAAGCGUUAAUCGGAAUUACUGGGCGUAAAGCGUGCGCAGGCGGUUUAGUAAGACAGGCGUGAAAUCCCCGGGCUCAACCUGGGAACUGCGCUUGUGACUGCUAAGCUAGAGUACGGCAGAGGGGGGUGGAAUUCCACGUGUAGCAGUGAAAUGCGUAGAGAUGUGGAGGAACACCAAUGGCGAAGGCAGCCCCCUGGGUCGAUACUGACGCUCAUGCACGAAAGCGUGGGUAGCAAACAGGAUUAGAUACCCUGGUAGUCCACGCCCUAAACGAUGUCAACUAGGUGUUGGGAGGGUAAAACCUUUUAGUACCGGAGCUAACGCGUGAAGUUGACCGCCUGGGGAGUACGGCCGCAAGGUUA
rnacentral:rRNA from 1 species